rnacentral:misc_RNA from 1 species
AACCGCCGGAUGCGGACCCGCAUGUCCGGUGGUGUGAGAGGACGGGGGCUAGCCGCCUCCUCCUACUCGAU